ensembl:lncRNA
CCCCGUGACGCUGAUGUGCUCCAGUAGCUCGGCGAUGGUGACCACUGUCCUUUAUGAGGCACAACUUUCAUUAGACAUCAUUAGACAUCUGUGGAGGAACCAUUACAAAAGGAAAUGAUGAGACCGUUGCUUUUCAUAUCCCCCUCAGGAAGGAAACGCUUGAGCUACUUUGCUGUAGAGCCACAAUCUGUGCAGCGAGGAGGCAGAAUCACACAGCGCACUGAGCCCAGCCUUUCACAAACAGCUGCUUGUAGUGCCACUAGAUGUAUUUUGGUGGGAAGGGGGUGGAAGCUGCUCCCUGCACUUCUCAAUGUGGCAGAAAGUGUUACCAGUUCAACAUUAAUGCAUGUGUCUUACUUUCCAUUACCCGUCACUUUAUCAUUGUGUGUAUAUCAGUGAGAAACUGAUGCUGAAUUUAAAUUACAUCCUGUUGUUUAUGUCUGUUGCUUGAGUGCGUCGUGAGGAAAUUUUCUGAAAGGGUAAUUUGUGUAUUUCCUCCCUUAAUUUCAAAAGAUUUUUUCCCCCUAAUGACUGAAUCAUAACAAAAGGAAUAAUGGUAGCACUUUACAGUAAGGUUCAAUUUGUUAACAUCAUUCAUUC